UCCUGCUUUCGAGUGGGCCCA
rnacentral:siRNA from 1 species